UAUCACAGGCCUGAACUUUAAACUCAUUACACAUCUUUUUUUUUUAUUUCUGACAGAGUGAGGUUAUUUUUCAUCAACAAACUGUAUCUCUAAAUUUUUUAUUGAAAAAAAAUAAAUAAACAUUAUGAAUGAAGAACGUUUUAUUGUUAAAUUUAUUUCAGUUAAAAAUUGUUUUGUUUAUAUUCCAAAUAACUGGCUACAAAGAUUGACAACACAGAAUGGUGCUAUUAAAUUGAGCUAUGAUAAUAAAGAAUAUUUUGUUUCUCAUGAAAAAUCAAAAUCAAGUGGAAAUGAUUAUUUAUGUAUUAGUCCAACAUUUGGAAAAUGUUUGGAUAUCAAAGAGGGCAAUGAAAUAUUUGCAACAUGGAUUUUUGAUCCACCUGUUUUAACAUCAAUUAUUGUUACACCUAUUAAUUAUUCAGACUGGGAAAUUGUGAGACUUCAAGCUGAUAAAAUACAAUCAAUUAUGUUGAAUCAAAUAAAUAUUGUAACACCAAAUCAAAUCAUUGUCAUUUGGCUUUCAAAAUAUUUGAAUAUUAAACUUUUAGUUGAUUCAAUUAAUCCAAAAUUUUUAUAUGGAAAAUUAGAAAAUUAUACAGAAGUUCAUGUACAAGAUUCACCCUCAAAAACAACUUCCAAUAAUACAAUUGAAAAAAUCAUAAAUUCAUUUAAUUUAAAUGAUAAAAAAAAUACCGAUAAUAAUAUUGAUUUAAAUAUUUACAAAAAAGAAAAGCUAAAUUUUAUAUUUCGUGUUUGUAAAACACCAAAGUUUGAGUAUCUAAUUGAUGAUGAUAAAAUUAAUUGUGAGCUUAAUUCACCUCACAAUAUAUUUAUUCAAAAGCUGGAAUUAAAAAAAUUAUUUUCUCAUCAAGAUAGCUUUGAAAAUACAUUUGUAAAAAUUAAAAAAAUACAUUACAUUGAUAAACAAAAUGAAAAUGUUAAUUUGACUUUAUCAAAUGAUAAUGAUAAUUUUGAUGAUGUAGAAAUUGAUGAUACAGUGAGGAUAUUGUCGAUUGAUGAUUUUCUAAAUGACACUAUUGCUGAAAAUAAUUUUUUUGGAAAUAUUUGGAUACCAGAAUUAUUAAGAAAAAAAUUGGGACUUCAAUUGGGAUCAAAAAUAAAAUUAGAACCUCUAGAUGUCAUUGAAGAUCCUGUAAAAGCAAUAAAAUUAAUUACUUCAAUAAAUUCUCCUCUAAAUCGUAGUAAAUUCGAAAAUUAUAUAAAAAAAUAUUCUGAAAAUUAUGAAAUUUUAUUAACAUCUGGUACAAAAAUAUACAUUGAUGAUGAAAUUUUUUGUAUCACUAAAUUUACUGAUGAAGAAAACAAAUAUAUUUUAUUGAAUAAGCCAAAAUUACAACAAUUAAAAAUAACAAUUAAUAAUGAAGAAUUUAAAAGUAAAAAUUUGAUUAUUAAAAAUGGCAAAGAAAAGAUAGAAGAUAUGAUAAAUAUGAAAAAUAUUUAUCAUACAAUAUUUCAAGAAAUAUUUGAAGAAUGCCACAUGAUAAUAAAUCUUAGUUUUGAUAGAAAUUUCUUUUCAUAUAAUAGAGAAAAUAUUUUAAUUUGUGGUGAUAUUGGUACUGGUAAAUCUACAAUUUGUAAAUUAUUAAAACAACAAUUUGAAAGUUAUCCAAAAAAUAUAUACACACGUUUUAUUGAUUGUAAAAAAUUAAAAGGUAAAAAAUCAGAAAUAAUAUAUAAAUUAUUAAAUUCAAUAUUAAAUGAAUGUGUAUAUUAUCAACCAUCAAUAAUAUUUUUUGAUGAUUUAGAAAGUAUAAUAAAUUAUUCAUCAGAUAGUGAUGAAAAUUCACCAGAUGCUAUUAAUCAGUGGAAAAUUUCUGAUGCAAUUGUUAAAUUAUUAACGAGUUAUCAAUCACGUUAUUUAAUUUGUUGUAUUUCAAGCUGUACUGAUGUAUUAAAACUUGGUACCGAGUUACGAUCAUCAAGAGGUGUACAAUUUUUUCGAACAAUUAUUAAAAUUCCAACAAUAAAAACAUCAGAUAGAAUUGAAUUUUACAAGUUAUUAUUGAAAAAUAAAUUAACUAUUGAUGAUAAUAUUGAUUGGCAAUAUUUUGGAAUUAAAACUGAAGGCUGGGUUGCCCAAGAUCUAGUUGAUUUAGCUGAAAAAACUGUAUUUUUUGUAUGGAAAAGCAAUUUAAAAACAACAAAAUCAAAUAGUGAAUUAUAUCUAAUGAAUGACAAUUUAACUUUAGCAUUAGAAAAAUCAAAAGCAUUGUCUUUACAUGGUGUAUCAUUGUACAGUAACAAAGAAAAUAGUUGGUCAAAUAUUGGUGGUCUUGAUGAUGUUAAAAAAAUUCUUAUUCAAUUACUACAAUGGCCACUUAUUUAUCCAGAAUUAUAUUUAAAUUCACCAACUAAACAUCAACCUGGUAUUUUAUUAUAUGGUAUGCCUGGUACUGGUAAAACAAUAAUUGCUGGUGCAAUUGCAAAUGAAUGUGGAUUAAAUUUUAUAAAUAUUAAAGGACCAGAAUUAUUAUCAAAGUACAUUGGUGCUAGUGAAGAAUCUGUUAGAAAAAUAUUUAUAAAAGCACAAUUAGCAAAACCUUGUGUAUUAUUUUUUGAUGAAUUUGAUAGUUUUGCACCAAGACGUGGACAUGAUUCAACAGGUGUUACUGAUCGUGUUGUUAAUCAAUUAUUGACACAAUUUGAUGGUGUUGAAGGUCGUGAUGGUGUUGCUAUUGUUGCUGCUACAUCUAGACCUGAUUUAUUAGAUCCAGCAUUACUAAGACCAGGAAGAUUAGAUAAAUCAAUUUAUUGUCCAUUACCAAAUGAGCUGGAAAGAGAAAAAAUUCUUCAAACUCUCUGCAAAUCACAAUCUAUCAAUACAAAUAAUUUAGAUUUAACAAAAAUAUCAAAAUUAACAAAUGGAUUUACUGGUGCUGAUUUAAAUGCAAUAUUAACACAAGCAAAAUUGGAUUCAUUAGAAAAAAUAUGGUCAAAAACAACAGCUCCUAUUGAUAAACAAAAUUUUAAUGAUAUUACAAUUACACAAGAUGGAUUAAUUAAUGCCUUUGAAUUAACACAACCGUCAUUGUCAACAAUUGAUGUUAUUAAAUAUAAUAAUAUAUAUAAAAAAUUUUCAAAUGGCAAUAAUUUUAUUGAUGAAAUUUUGAAUAAUCAAAAGUCAACACUUGCAUAAUUGAUAGAGUAAAAAAAUCUUAAUGAAAAUAAAAAAAAUAAAAGUGGAAAUGGCGAGUUGGCAGGAAGGACGCAACAUUCAUCCUCCUACUACAUUAUUUUUUGAGGGUAUGGGUAUACUUGAAGAAUCUUGAUUUUAAGUUCUCCAAAGAACAUAUUUCAUCCUUGCUAAUGUCUAGAUAAACUAUAUUAUAUAUGCUCUCGCGUAAUAAUUUAAUUUAACUUGAUGCAAGCUGCAUCCGCUUGCGUCAUACACAUCCAUAUACGUACAUGCACAUUCAAUAAUUAUUAAUUUUUUUUUCAUUAUUAAUACUGAAAUUAUUUGACAAUUGUAAUAAUUUAUUACAGUGACUAUAAAUAUCCUUAAAAUUAAUUGCUCAAAAAAAUCGAAAUUUUUUCUACAGUAGAAAUUUAAUUGUUUCGAUUAAGCAAAAAUAAUUUAUAAAUCAUUUUUACAAUUCUAAUGAAUUGUAAUUUUAAUUAUUUAAAUUUAUCCUUAUAUAUAAAAAUUAAUAACAAUCGUAACAAUAAUAAACAAUAAACAUUUUAUGUGUCGCGCGGUAUAUCAAGUGCUCGUACAUCUUACCGAUUGUUUAUUUAAAAAAGCUCAAACUGAAAAUUUAAAAAUAAAUUCAUAAUAAAAUUAAAAAUAAAUAAAAGAAUUAUUAUUUAAGAUGAAUUUUAAUUUUCAAGAAAUAUUUAGUUGUUGAUUAAAUUGUAGAAGCUGAAAAAUGAUAAAUAAUUACAGGUAAAUUUUAAACGUGUCUUUUCCGAGUCACCCAGGAGGUAAGACAUAUAUGACUCGUUUUUUUUUUUAUCAAGUGGUUUCUCCAGUAGACCUAUUCCACUUUUCGCACGUUUUCUAGCUGCAGCUAGAAUUAUUUCGAUUGCGCUCAUAGUAGCAAAUUUUUCGAUUGCGCUCACAGCAGCAAGUUUUUCGAUUGCGCUCAUAGCAGCAAAUUUUUCGAUUGCGCUCACAGCAGCAAAUUUUUCGAUUGCGCUCAUAGCAGCAAAUUUUUCGAUUGCGCUCGCAGCAGCAAAUUUUUCGAUUGCGCUCAUAGCAGCAAAUUUUUCGAUUGCGCUCAUAGCAGCAAGUAUCGACACACGCAUGUACAAAAAAUAAAUAUAUACAUAAUUAUACCCGCGCUCAUAGCUGCAGGUAUAUUUUUUAUCAUACACUGUGAUAGGACAUUUCUAGGCUCAAUUCACUAUGCCACUAUCACUAAUUGUGAUAGGACAUUUCUAGGCCUUAAUCACUAUGUCACUAUCGCUCACUAUAUCAUUAUCUUACAUUUCACUAUAUGAAAUUUUAAAAUCCCGAAAAUUAUAAAAUUCUGAAACAAAAAAAUCCUGAAACAAACAAAACCUGAAAUUAUUAGAAUCAUGACAUUAAAAUCCUCAAAAUCCUGAAAUCAUAAAAAACCUGAAACAUACAAAAACCUGAAACAGAAAAAAUCCUGAAACAUACUUGAAAAUUUGAUUAUUAUUUUUGGAAAAGUGCAUUUAAUAUCAAAUAAAAAAAUCUUAAAUAUUAACAUACAUCGCGAAUGGAAAAUAGGGUGAUAAUUUAUCUAUUAUAAAUUUUCACGAUAGAUAAUAAUAAAUCCUAAUCACCCUUGUCUACUCUGUUUGAGAAAGACAAGGUCGAUUCAUUUUGACUUUCACACUACGGCUAUUUAAUUUGGCAUUUAAAUGGAAUAUAUAAUUAUUGUAAAAAUCAGUCAAAAUUAAUCUAUACAUAAAAUAAUAAUUUGGAACGACAAGAAGCUUCAAAAAAUAUAGCAACAAUUUUUUGAAACUUCAAGGAUAUUGAAGCACUUUUCCGGGAUAGGUUAAUAAUUACAACUAGUCAAUCAUGAUCUAGAGGGACUUACUUUAUUACAACAAACAGCCAUGAAGAAGUGGUCCAGGUAGUCUCCAAUAAUCCAAUUAAAUCCCAUUAUAUCCUUUCAGCAAAUCCAUGAAGAAGUUGUCCAGGUAGUCUCCAAUAAUCCAAAUAAAUUCCGUUCCAUCCUCUCAGCAAAACCAUGUAGAAAUUGUCAGGGCAGUCUCCAAUAAUCCAUUUAAAUAAUCCCAAAACAGCAACAGGCACUUUUUACACUUAUAUCACUUAACUUUUUUUUACAUAUUUCUUUUUUGAUAAUAACCACUAGCACUUUCACAAACACUUUUACUUAUUUUUUUUUUUUUAUGACCACGAGACGAUCGGCACGUGGUCAUUUCAAAUAUUUCAAACUAAACAACCGACAAAAAAAUUCUAAACGAUAUUCACUCUGCGAAAACUAAGACGAACCGAUGAAAAUCUACGAAAAUAUUCUAUUAUUUUACACUUGUACUUUUUUUUUUUGAACCGAACAACCACGAGGUACUUUUUUACUAACCACGAAUUUAACGGAUGGAAAAUUCUUAAAUGAUGUUAAACCAACAAAACCCGAAAACGAACUGACUAGAAAUCGUCUAGGACUGCCCAUUAUAUAUCCUAGACUGUCCUAGACGAAGACUAGGAAGACUAGAGGUCGCUUUUUCUAUGAUUCACUGCCUAGUUUUGCCCUCUGCAGAUCAGCCAUUGGCUAAUGCCAGGCAAAAUUUUUCGAAACGGGUUUUGCGCCAGGUGAAAAAGAAUAUUUCACGUGGAUGCCAUGCUCUCGAACCUAAAAAAAAAACACGUGCAAAAAAAAUUUCAAAUAUAAUUUUGUGAAU